rnacentral:rRNA from 1 species
GAUGAACGCUGGCGGCGUGCCUAAUACAUGCAAGUCGAGCGAACGGACGAGAAGCUUGCUUCUCUGAUGUUAGCGGCGGACGGGUGAGUAACACGUGGAUAACCUACCUAUAAGACUGGGAUAACUUCGGGAAACCGGAGCUAAUACCGGAUAAUAUUAUGAACCGCAUGGUUCAAAAGUGAAAGACGGUCUUGCUGUCACUUAUAGAUGGAUCCGCGCUGCAUUAGCUAGUUGGUAAGGUAACGGCUUACCAAGGCAACGAUGCAUAGCCGACCUGAGAGGGUGAUCGGCCACACUGGAACUGAGACACGAUCCAGACUCCUACGGGAGGCAGCAGUAGGGAAUCUUCCGCAAUGGGCGAAAGCCUGACGGAGCAACGCCGCGUGAGUGAUGAAGGUCUUCGGAUCGUAAAACUCUGUUAUUAGGGAAGAACAUAUGUGUAAGUAACUGUGCACAUCUUGACGGUACCUAAUCAGAAAGCCACGGCUAACUACGUG